rnacentral:lncRNA from 1 species
UCCAACACCAAAGCCGAAACCAUCCACACCGGAGGAGCCACAUCGACGACCUCCGGUACAGGGGCACCCUAAACCACCAUCUUCAGCACCAGCACCGUCACCUGAUCCACAUGACCAAUCUCCAGUGACUCCUAUCAGGCCACCAGCACCUAAGAACCCAACUCGGGAGCCACCCCCAGCACCUAAGAACCCAACUCGGGAGCCACCCCCAGCACCUAAGAAGCCGACUCCCGAGUCACCAAAAUCACCAGCAGCACCGGAGAAUCCAACUCCCCAACCACCAAAAUCGUCACCAAUGCCUUCACCUGACCCACACGGUAAUUCUCCUGUUGGAGGGGUCCGCUCACCUCCACCACCAGUCUACUCACCACCCCCACCCGUGCACUCACCCCCGCCACCAGUCUAUUCACCACCGCCACCACCAGUCCAUUCUCCACCACCACCACCAGUUUAUUCUCCACCACCACCUCCACCUGUCUACUCACCACCCCCACCAGUUCACUCGCCACCUCCACCAGUCUACUCACCCCCACCACCACCACCUGUCUAUUCACCAUCACCACCACCACCAGUCCAUUCACCACCACCUCCUGUCUACUCCCCACCACCACCAGUCUACUCCCCUCCACCACCUGCCCAUUCACCACCACCACCACCCGUCUACUCUCCACCACCACCACCACCACCCGUCCACUCUCCACCUCCACCGCUUUACUCACCACCACCACCUGUACGAUCCCCACCUCCACCGCUUUACUCACCACCACCACCACCAGUUCCAACUCCAUCUCUUCCUCCUCCUCCUGUUGCUUCUGCACCGCCACCUACCGAGGAAUUUGUUCUCCCACCAAACUUGGGAUUCCAGUACUCCUCGCCACCUCCACCAAUGUUCCCAGGCUACUAAAUAGUAUAGCCUUAAAACAUCUUUAUAUUGUAUAUUCACCCUUUUGGCUAUAAAAAUGAAAAAAGA